rnacentral:rRNA from 1 species
UACGAAGGGGGGCUAGCGUUGUUCGGAAUUACUGGGCGUAAAGCGCGCGCAGGCGGCUAUCCAAGUCAGUGGUGAAAGCCCCGGAGCUCAACUCCGGAACUGCCAUUGAAACUGUUUAGCUUGAGGAUGAGAGAGGUGAGUGGAAUUCCCAGUGUAGAGGUGAAAUUCGUAGAUAUUGGGAAGAACACCGGUGGCGAAGGCGGCUCACUGGCUCAUUACUGACGCUCAGGCGCGAUAGCGUGGGGAUCAAACAGG